rnacentral:rRNA from 1 species
GACGGAGGGGGCAAGCGGUGUCCGGACUUACUGGGCGUAAAGGGCCCGUAGGCGGCCUGAUGCGUCGGUGCUGAAAGCGCCCCGCUUAACGGGGUGAGGCUUGCCGAUACGAUCAGGCUCGAGGCAGGCAGAGGGUGGCGGAAUUCCGGGUGUAGUGGUGAAAUGCGUAGAGAUCCGGAGGAACGCCUGUGGCGCAAGCGGCCACCUGGGCCUGACCUGACGCUGAGGGGCGAAAGCGUGGGGAGCAAACCGG